rnacentral:lncRNA from 1 species
GUUUCUCAUUGCCUGGUGGUAAGGCAGCUUUACCUUUGAAACCACACCAGCUCUGGCAGUCUUAGGAAUCCCUCGUACACCAGGAAAAUACAAGUUCUAAAAGACAUGCCCAGGCACAUUUGCUCAAAUAUGUGCUGUAUAUGAGGUAUUCAAUUCCCUUCCUACGUGUUGUGGAGAAACUGUAAUCCUUUAAAGAUUACUGACAAACACAAUGAAAAAAAGAAGUUGAUAGACCAAAAUAUGAAGGUGGGUGGAAAAGAAAUGACAAUCUUAUACACAGGUUAAGUAGGUAAUGUAGGCCAUGUUUGGACAACAUUCUAAUUUAUUGAAAGCAAUCAAUAUUUCAGUUUUGACAGACAUAUCUUGAUAACAACUUUUCAGUCUAUGCUUUAUGAGGGAAAACAAACACUGUU